AGCUCCAAUAGCGUAUAUUAAAGUUGCUGCAGUUAAAAAGCUCGUAGUUGCAUUUCCGAGGCAAGGGAUUAGUCCGACCUUUGGUGGGUAUUUAAUCCUCUUGCCUCGUCCUUGAGUGGUGCUUCUUGGUAUUAAGUUAUCGAGGAGAUAGCCGCUCAUCGUUUACUGUGAGAAAAUUAGAGUGUUCAAAGCAGGCUUAUGCCGUUGAAUAUAUUAGCAUGGAAUAAUAAGAUAGGACCUCGGUACUAUUUUGUUGGUUUGAGAACCAAGGUAAUGAUUAAUAGGGACAGUUGGGGGUAUUCGUAUUCAGUUGUCAGAGGUGAAAUUCUUAGAUUUACGGAAGACGAACUACUGCGAAAGCAUUUACCAAGGAUGUUUGCA
rnacentral:rRNA from 1 species